CCUACGGGUGGCUGCAGUGAGGAAUAUUGGUCAAUGGACGAAAGUCUGAACCAGCCAAGCAGCGUGAAGGACGACUGCGCUAUGCGUUGUAAACUUCUUUUAUAAAGGAAUAAAAUGAGGCACGUGUGCCUUUCUGCAUGUACUUUAUGAAUAAGGAUCGGCUAACUCCGUGCCAGCAGCCGCGGUAAUACGGAGGAUCCGAGCGUUAUCCGGAUUUAUUGGGUUUAAAGGGAGCGUAGGUGGAUUGUUAAGUCAGUGGUGAAAGGUUGGGGCUCAACCGCAGAAUUGCAUUUGAAACUGGCAGUCUUGAGAACUGUUGAGGUAGGCGGAAUGCGUAGUGUAGCGGUGAAAUGCUUAGAUAUCGCGAAGAACCCCGAUUGCGAAGGCAGCAUACUAAA
rnacentral:rRNA from 1 species